rnacentral:tRNA from 1 species
AUUUAAAUAGCUUAAUUAGAGCAUAACGUUGAAGGUGUUAGGGUGAUAUUUGUUAUCUUUAAAUA